UCUCCAUCUCUCUCUCUCUCUCAAAAAUAAAUUAAUAAACAUUUAAAAAAAUAGAAAAUAAAGCAUAUAUCAAGUUGAUGUCUCUUAAAAUAAUUACAUUCUCAACCUUAAGCAUUAAACAUUUAAUAUUCUAAUUCAACCAGAGAUACUCAUUUAACAUUUGCAAAAUAUUUUGAAAGCCCUGGGUGAAAGUAACAAUUAACAGCGGCAUGGCUGUUCAGGGACAAUCAAAUAAAACAUUGAGGUCAGAACUGUAUCUGCCCAGGACUGGAUGGGGGUUUGCAAAAUUCCAGGUGUCCUGCACAGUCUUACUUCCUCCUGCCAGGGCAUGGGCAUUAACAGAGCCGACAGUAUUUUAUGUUUCUUCCAGCUAUAAUGUAUUCUGCACGAGCACAGUGCUGCGGACCGCGGAUAAAACAACAGGUAUAAAUCACAGCAUUCACCCUGAGGAGCAAAGCUUGAGAAGGUCCGCUCUCCUUGAAGGUUGUUUUAUUUCUGAUUGCUUAUUUUGUACGAUUUUUACUUUUUUUUUUUUUUAAUGUUCUGUUGAUGUUAUAGCAGCCAAUGGAAAUGAAGGCGAGUUACCCCGGAAGGAAGGUGUGCAGGGAGUUGGCAGUGUUGUGCCCAGAGCCACAGGUGCGUCCUCCAAAAGGCAAGUGAUGCCUGGCCCCCGAAGUGCGGCUUGGAGUGGAGCUAGGCCCGUGGGUCUGCCUCCUCUCCUCGCCCCCCCAAGCAGAGUCUGUUGGGCUUUAGUGACAGGAAGUCACAGUGGUGUCAUUUUCAGCUGGAGAGAGAGACAGAUGCACCCAGAUCAGUAUCACUGUCCCGGAUCAAUGACACAUUGUUGCCUCCCCAGGCUUUUUCAACCAUGGCGAACAACCGACUUUUUCAUUCUGUCUGAGGGUCUUCUUGGUCAACGUGGUGCAAAAAGGCUGCGUUAGCAGCAGGUUGAGAUUCCUGUAUUUGGCAACCUUCUUCCGAGAAACAUUAUUAUCAUUUUGGUCCAAAUCACACUGCUGGUUGGUGUCAGUGUCGUCUGUAGGUGAGCUGAUGACAGCAACCCCCUCCCGACCUCUCCUGACUGUAGAGAAGAGGGGACAGCCUGAGUGGUCUCCAUGAUGGUGAAGAAGCUUGCCAGCACCCCAGACCCUCUGUGAACACUUUCUUUUGUUUUUAAUGUUUAUUUAUUUUUGAGAGAGACAGAACAUGAGCGGAGGAGGGGCAGAGAGAGAGAGGGAGACACAGAAUCGGAAGCAGGCUCCAGGCUCCGAGCUGGCAGCACAGAGCCCGACAUGAGGCUCAAACUCACGGACCGUGAGAUCAUGACCUGAGCCGAAGUUGGAUGCUUCAGCGGCCAAGCCCCCCAGGUACCCCUCUGCGCGCACUUCCGAAGAGUUGCUGAACCAUUUCCCAGGUGAACAGGAUAAUUGGCCCACUUUCCCCUUGGCACCUGGGUGAACUUGGUUACACACCCUACAGAAACGCUUCCCUGGCUGUCCUGUCCUCACCGGGGGACUUCCUAGCAUACCAUGUGGCACUCAUAGGUGCACGUAGCAGGAGCAGGUCAGCAUAAGAGCGUGUCACGGUCCCUCUGAUGCCACAUUCUACACCUGGAGAUCACAUAAUGUCACUGAGAUCAUCCCAGGGCAGGAACGGCGGAGAGGGAACAUUUCUAAGUCCCGGGUCACUGCUGGCUCCACUCUACAUACUGAGCCAAAAAGCUAUGGUCACAAUGUGUCUAGAUUCAGGUAGAGAUGACAGGGGGCUCCUGGGGCGGGGAAGGGGGUGGGGAGCUGAGCCCCAGAGCCAAAAAUAGGCCUGCUUUUCUGAUGCAACUGGAAACUCUUCGGUCACUCAGAUGAUGUUCCUAAUAUGUAUCUUCUCAUUACCUGCCUCCACUGCUGACUUGUUUUGGUGAGGACAAAUUCAGAAGGCCAAAACUCCGCAGCAAACAUCGCGAGCCAGAGAAGGAUACACCGUGUGCCGUGUGAAUGGCGUGUAGUGCCAUUUCCCCUGGUAUCAUCACGGAGCACAGACGGCUAUUAUCACCAUGUUUCCAUUUUCCUACAAGACGUAGUUUUGGUAAGAGAAAACAGGCCAACAGUUUAUUUAGUAAGCGAUAAAAAUACAUUCUU